AUCAACUUUCGAUGGUAGGAUAGAGGCCUACCAUGGUGGUAACGGGUAACGGGGUGUUAGGGCACGACACCGGAGAGGGAGCCUGAGAAACGGCUACCACAUCCAAGGAUGGCAGCAGGCGCGCAAAUUACCCAAUCCCGACACGGGGAGGUAGUGACAAUAAAUAACAAUACAGGGUUCUUUUGGAUCUUGUAGUUGGAAUGAGUACAAUUUAAAUCUCUUAACGAGGAACAAUUGGAGGGCAAGUCUGGUGCCAGCAGCCGCGGUAAUUCCAGCUCCAAUAGCGUAUAUUAAAGUUGUUGCAGUUAAAAAGCUCGUAGUUGAAUUUCGGGAUCAAUAUGUUGGUCGUGCCUUGGUACGUACUAGUUUAUUGGUUUCUCCCUUCUGACGAACCAUGAUGUCAUUAAUUUGGUGUCAUGUGGAAUCAGAACUGUUACUUUGAAAAAAUUAGAGUGUUUAAAGCAGGCUCACGCUUGAAUACAUUAGCAUGGAAUAAUGAAAUAGGACGUUUGAUUCUAUUUUGUUGGUUUCUAGGAUUGACGUAAUGAUUAAUAGGGAUAGUUGGGGGCAUUAGUAUUCAAUUGUCAGAGGUGAAAUUCUUGGAUUUAUUGAAGACUAACUACUGCGAAAGCAUUUGCCAAGGAUGUUUUCAUUAAUCAAGAACGAAAGUUAGGGGAUCGAAGACGAUCAGAUACCGUCGUAGUCUUGACCAUAAACUAUGCCGACUAGGGGUCGGAUGAUGUUAAAUUAAUGACUCAUUCGGCCCCUUACGGGAAACCAAAGUGUUUGGGUUC
rnacentral:rRNA from 1 species